UGGUGGAGUGAUUUGUCUGCUUAAUUGCGAUAACGAACGAGACCUUAACCUGCUAAAUAGCCAGGCUAGCUUUUGCUGGUCGCCGGCUUCUUAGAGGGACUAUCGGCUCAAGCCGAUGGAAGUUUGAGGCAAUAACA
rnacentral:rRNA from 1 species